GAUGAAGAACGCAGCGAAAUGCGAUAAGUAGUGUGAAUUGCAGAAUUCAGUGAAUCAUCGAAUCUCUGAACGCACAUUGCGCCCCAUGGUAUUCCGUGGGGCAUGCCUGUUCGAGCGUCAUUUACCCCCUCAAGCUCCGCUUGGUGUUGGGCGUCUGUCCCGCUUCGCGCGCGGACUCGCCCCAAAGGUAUUGGCAGCGGUCGUGCCAGCUUCUCGCGCAGCACAUUGCGCUUCUCGAGGCACCGGUGGGCCCGCGUCCAUCAAGCUCACCCCCCCAGUUUGACCUCGGAUCAGGUAGGGAUACCCGCUGAACUUAAGCAUAUCAAUAAGCGGAGGA
rnacentral:misc_RNA from 1 species